UACGUAGGAUGCGAGCGUUAUCCGGAUUUAUUGGGAUUAAAGGGUGCGCAGGCGGCGAGUUAAGUCAGCGGUAAAAUUUCGGGGCUCAACCCCGACAAGCCGUUGAAACUGGCUUGCUAGAGUGGGCGAGAAGUAUGCGGAAUGCGUGGUGUAGCGGUGAAAUGCAUAGAUAUCACGCAGAACUCCGAUUGCGAAGGCAGCAUGCCGGCUCCACACUGACGCUGAGGCACGAAAGCGUGGGGAGCAAACAGG
rnacentral:rRNA from 1 species